AACCCCUGUCAGUGGGCAAAGAGACCCCUUGGUGGUGGUGUUGCUCUUAUGUCAGUCAGGGGCAGAGUGGAUGGCAGUUCGUCCUAGCUUGAUGCUUGGCUUGGUGGCCAAAGCUGCCUUAGGCCUAGGAUUCAUAA
ensembl:snoRNA Gm23546 small nucleolar RNA SNORA48